AUUGUUAAAUCAACAAUGGGAGUCACUGGGUUCAUGCUCCCCACGUAGGAUCUCUGUCCUUAAUGUGUUUUACUAUGAAACUUAAAAACAACACUACUAGUUGAACAAUACCCUAUACCUUGUACAGUUGUGUGAGUACAGCCUGUUGAAAUCCUUGCUUAGUAUAUACUAAGUUGAUCUUCAGUAUAUGAAGAUACUCACACAUCAAUAAAAGAAAUUCUGGAACAAAUGAUCUUAGAAAAGAUGUGACCAAUUCAAUCUACUAUCCCGUUUCUCUUCAUGAUACCCCUGGAUUUUCAACCGAAAUGAAAAGGCAAGUUUCAGGUACAUAUUAAGAAGGAAGAAUAACAUUAUCUUACCUAAGGAGAACUGAAGUUAUCCAGUGUUUGGAUGACAAAAUCAAGAAAAACUCCCAACAGAGAGCCUUCCUGUACUUCUGUGGUGAGAUGGUAUCACUAGUUCCUGUUGAUUGAUACCUUUGCUCUGAGAUCCUGUCGAUUUGGUCUCUGAUAUGAAACUAGCAUUUUCUUUGAAUUUCUCCCCAAGUGUAAAUUUGAGAUAAGACUAUGUACCUAUAGAUACAUAUGUAUCAUGUAGAGUUUUGGGAGGAUUCGAUGUGAUAGAUAGGUAAUCACUAAUCGAGUUCCUUAAAUGAAAGAAGCAUUAAUAAAGGGAGAUAUUCUGCUGGAUGGUGCAGCUGUUAAGACACUGCCUGGGAUGUCUGCAUCUUAUCAGAGUGCCUGUGUUUGUGUCCUACCUCUGCUGCUGAUUCCAGCUUCCUGUUAAUAUAUAUCCCAGGAAACAGCAGAUGGUGACUGGAGUACUUGGGUCCCUGCCAUCCAUGUGAGAGAUCCCGAUUGAGUUCAGGGCUCCUGGCUUCUGCCUGGUAUAGCCCUGGCUGUUAAGGACAUCUAGGGAGUGAACCAGUGGAUGGAAGCUCAGAUCUAUCUCUCCAUUUCUC